rnacentral:lncRNA from 1 species
UGUAUUUUAUACGGUCCGUGUAUCUUUUUGGUCAUGUGAUUUUUCUACUUAAAAAGAAAUAAAUAGAAAUUAGGUUUAAUUUUCGUUUUUCCGUUUUGUUUAAGAAACAGAAAACGAAAAUUUAGAUGGAUGUAUUUUUGUUUAUGGGUAAUGUUGAAAAUGAACUGAGAUCCGACCCGUACAAUGACCUUUUUUUUUUUCGUUUUUUUCGUCCAGUUUUCUAAUACUAUUAUUUGAUGACAACAUUAUUUGGAAAACAAAAUACAGCCAUUUCUGCUUUUUUCUUUUAAACAAAAAACCAAGUUGCACCCUUUUUUAAAUUUCAUCUUUCAUUCCGAAAUAGAAUAAUGAAUGAACGAAAAAGUACACGGACCGAUCUCGGGGUUGCCGUGUAUAGGUGCAGGACCAGUACAGAAGGGAUGAAAGGGGCGCCGCCCACACAUUCAAAAUAAAUAUUAAAGCAUCUCAUUUUUUUUUUUUACCCAUGAACAAAAGUACGAAAAAUCCAGCUAAAUUUUCGUUUUAGCUGGAGAAAAAAUAUGAGGGAAAAAGGAGGGUAUAAGGUCCGUGUAUAUUUUGGUCAUUUUAUUUUCUACUUAAAGAGAAAUAAAAAGAAAUGAGAAACGGUUUGAUUUAAUUUUUUCGUUUUAAGAAAUUCUCGACUUUAAAUAAAGAACCAAUGAGAUAUAAAAAUCGCUGACUGGUUGGGUAAUGAUUUCUUGUUAGAUAGAAAGGUUUUUGAGUGCGCAGUGGCUUCGCUAUUAUGACGUCACAAUAAGCAGAAAGUUAGAACGUUCGAAGAAUAUAAAUGUAAAGUGUGAGCAUCCUCGCGCAUUUAAUGUGUCUCACCGUCAGAGACAAACCGUCUGAGGUGAUUUCUUGUCUGGCCGACAGAUGGAUAGCAGAUCAUGGCCCUGACUAUUUUAAGACCCUUUUGUUCAGGCACUCUAGAUAGAUAUCAUCUUGUUUGGCUUUAAUAUUUUGCAGAUAUUAUUUGUUAUUAUUUGUACAGAUAGAUUUGACUGUUGUGGCGCUUCAUGUGUAUUUUGCAAUCU